rnacentral:rRNA from 14 species
GCCGCGUGAGUGAUGAAGGCCUUAGGGUUGUAAAGCUCUUUUACCCGGGAUGAUAAUGACAGUACCGGGAGAAUAAGCCCCGGCUAACUCCGUGCCAGCAGCCGCGGUAAUACGGGAGGGGCAAGCGUUAUUCGAAAUGAUUGGGCGUAAAGAGUCCGUAGAUUGUAAAAUAAGUUAUUUGUUAAAUCAUAAGGAUUAACCUUGUAAAAACAUUUAAAACUGUUUUACUAGAGUUUUUUUCAGAAAAGUAGAAUUUCAUAUGAAAGGAUAAACCCUGUAGAUAUAUGAAGGAAUAUCAAAAGCGAAAGCAACUUUUUGGUAAAAACUGACGUUGAGGGACGAAAGUAUAGGUAGCAAACAGGAUUAGAUACCCUGGUAGUCUAUACUGUAA